UGGGGAAUAUUGGACAAUGGGCGAAAGCCUGAUCCAGCCAUGCCGCGUGUGUGAAGAAGGUCUUCGGAUUGUAAAGCACUUUAAGUUGGGAGGAAGGGCAGUAAGCGAAUACCUUGCUGUUUUGACGUUACCGACAGAAUAACCACCGGCUAACUCUGUGCCAGCAGCCGCGGUAAUACAGAGGGUGCAAGCGUUAAUCGGAAUUACUGGGCGUAAAGCGCGCGUAGGUGGUUCGUUAAGUUGAAUGUGAAAGCCCCGGGCUCAACCUGGGAACUGCAUCCAAAACUGGCGAGCUAGAGUAGGGCAGAGGGUGGUGGAAUUUCCUGUGUAGCGGUGAAAUGCGUAGAUAUAGGAAGGAACACCAGUGGCGAAGGCGACCACCUGGGCUCAUACUGACACUGAGGUGCGAAAGCGUGGGGAGCAAACAGG
rnacentral:rRNA from 1 species